UACGACUACAUAUCAGGCAUAUCAAUAAGCGGAGGAAAAGAAACUAACAAGGAUUCCCUUAGUAACGGCGAGUGAAGCGGGAAGAGCUCAAAUUUGAAAUCUUCAAGGUUCUACCUUGACGAAUUGUAGUUUAAAGAAGUGUUUUCUGUUAGAUGAGUAGCAAAAGUUCCUUGGAAUGGGACAUCAUAGAGGGUGAGAAUCCCGUAUUUGGUUAUUCAUUCUAGCUUUGUGAUACACUUUCAAAGAGUCGGAUUGUUUGGGAAUGCAGUCCAAAAUGGGUGGUAAAUUUCAUCUAAAGCUAAAUAUUGGCGAGAGACCGAUAGCGAACAAGUACCGUGAGGGAAAGAUGAAAAGAACUUUGAAAAGAGAGUUAAACAGUACGUGAAAUUGUCAAAAGGGAAGCGUUUGACACCAGUGUUGUUUAGUUGAAAAUCAAUUCAAUAGUUUUUUGAUUCUAAGUAGUAUUGACUUCAUCAGCUUGCUGCUUUCUUCUCAGAAAUUAUUGAAUGCACUUUUCAGUUAACAAGUCAACAUCAAUUUCUUUUGUUGUAAAAGGGUAAGAGGAAGGUGGCUUGCGCUUCGGCUCAAGUGUUUAUAGCCUUUUAUCUCUGCAAUCGGAGAGAUUGAGGUCUGCAGCGUAGAUCCUUCGGGGUUAGAUACAUUGGUGCUAAGCUAUAGCCUUGUAUAGACAACUUGUUGACUAUGCUCAGUCAUGUAGCUUACUCGCUGAUGCUAUUUUACCUACGCUUAGGAUGUUGAGUAGCGACAUACGCAC
rnacentral:rRNA from 1 species